AGGGGCAUAGCCAAGCGGUAAGGCAGCGGGUUUUGAUCCCGUCAUGCGAAGGUUCGAAUCCUUCUGCCCCUGCCA
rnacentral:tRNA from 1 species